GUAAUAGAGAUUCGGGUGCCGAUCCCCCCCAAAGGAGUUCACUCCAGACUUUCUAGUAUCCGACCUCCAAUUAGGCCGAAACCAAAGUCAAGUUGGGAUACCAGAUCAAGGAUAAGUGCAAAAGCAGGGUCAGACUAGAGAUGAAUCUAAGCCUAGAAUGGGAUUGUUAGCCCCAAUUAAAUCCUUGUCAAGUUUCGCAAUGCUAUUACUUGGGAUGCGAGACCUUUAAAGUAGAAUGUUAAGACAUAUCAUUGGUCUAGCAAAUGUGAAAAUUAAUGAAGCAUGUCAGAGGGAAGGAUCACAAGGGACUGAAUGAACAUAAAGUCUUAAAUGAAGCAUUUCAUAUUAAUCUCAGAAAAAUUAUAGUGAAGACAAUGAAAAGUAAAAAGGGAAGGGGUUCGUCUUUGGCCAAUGGAAGUUAUAAGGCAAGAGUUCUUCCUCAUGAUCUCCCAAGACCAAGAACAAGGUUGAUGGUCGAACUCUCUCGUUCUUCAAAUCCGAUCUCCAGAAUAUUGAGAAGAUUGACAUCUACCUUAGAAAAAAGUUCGAAGACUUGUGCUUUGCAUUCUCCAAAUCCAGCUUUGAAGGCUUGACGAGAUGCACUAGCAAUCCGGAUAGCCGCUUCUUUUCGGGC
rnacentral:lncRNA from 1 species